UACAGAGGGGGCAAGCGUUGUUCGGAAUUACUGGGCGUAAAGGGCGCGUAGGCGGCCUGUUAAGUCGAACGUGAAAUCCCCGGGCUCAACCCGGGAACUGCGUCCGAUACUGGCAGGCUUGAAUUCGGGAGAGGGAUGCGGAAUUCCAGGUGUAGCGGUGAAAUGCGUAGAUAUCUGGAGGAACACCGGUGGCGAAGGCGGCAUCCUGGACCGAGAUUGACGCUGAUGCGCGAAAGCUAGGGUAGCAAACGGG
rnacentral:rRNA from 1 species